CUUGUGCGCAACGUGGUAACCGAGGAGACUGAAGUCAACGUGUGCGCACUUAUGAUAAGGCAAAGAGGAAGGCCAAGAAGGCGGAAUGCGAGUUGGCUGUGGACACCACGGAGCUGUCGGCAAUGCUGCUGCGGGUGCAGCUGAGGCAUGAAGUACGGGUCGUGUCUGAGAGGCUGGAUGAAACUGAGCUCAGCCUGCCUUGUCGACGGUGCCUCCAGUUCUUCCUCGGCUACCUGCCGACAAUAUUAAAGAAUUAGAGGCAGCCGUGCGGGAUGAGGCUGUGGCUGCCACCUUGCGCAAGCACCUCCUGCAAAUAGGAGGGAAGUCACUGCGCGAGGUGGCAUCGUAUGCCAUGAAAGCUGUAAUGGCGCACCCCGUCCAAGUGCUUUACAGCCUUCAUAGCAGGAAGGGGAAGAGGGCAUUCAUCAAUUUGAAGUUAUGCCGGAUAGUCACAGAUUUCAUCUAUGCGAAAGGGGGGGGGGGCGACCUGACACAAGCACAGGACUUCAUUAAGUGGUUGCCAGGGUCUGUGGACAGCGGUGGUGGCAGGAAGAGGCGUUUCACGGC